rnacentral:misc_RNA from 1 species
GGUUUCCCCUCCCGGCCGGUGAUGAUCAUGGAGUCGAGGAUCUGGAGGACCGCCCUGACCUUGCUUCUGCUCCUUGGCCGGCUGGUGACGUCCGCCGCAGCGUCGACCUGUCCCCGGCCGUCGGCCGCUGUUGCGAUCUUGGAACCUUUGGUGGGGACGUGUCCGGUUGUCGAUGAUAAAGUCGUCGCCGCUGGUCCGAUCGGUGUCAUCGAGGGAGACGAGGGUGUGUUGCAGAGGGCAUUGAACCUAGUGCAUAGAAACAGAGAUGACUACGUAGCUAUACUCUUCUAUGCAUCGUGGUGUCCUUUCUCAAAAAUUUGCCAACCAAAUUUCAGCGUUCUGUCUUCCAUGUUUCCCUCCAUUCGCCACUUUGCAUUCGAAGAAUCUGUUAUCAGGCCAAGCAUACUCUCGAGGUACGGAGUUCAUGGCUUUCCAACCCUAUUCCUCCUAAAUUCUACGAUGAGGGUGCGGUAUCAUCAUGGAUCACGAACCAUUAAUUCAC